CCCCUGCUGAGCCAUGUAUGGGCAGUGGUUGAAUUUCUCUACAGAGAAUCACAGCUCCUACUAGGCUUAACAAGUAUGAAUAAAGCUUAAGCAUCUGUCAGAAGAGGAGGACAUUACCCAGGCACCCUUCCUUCCUUGAAGGAAGACACAGAUGGAAGCCUUCUAAAGCCUCAUAUGAAGCAGAAUCCGACCCCACAACUAAAGGAGGACUAGCCGGAAUCAUUGAGGCAUCCUGGCCCUACUCAAGCAGUCACAGAGAGAGAGAGAGGCGCAGAGACACAGGCAGAGGGAGAAGCAGGCUCCAUGCACCGGGAGCCCGACGUGGGAUUCGAUCCCGGGUCUCCAGGAUCGCGCCCUGGGCCAAAGGCAGGCGCCAAACCGCUGCGCCACCCAGGGAUCCCCACUAAUCUGUUUCUUAUUGUCAAUAAAUAUAGUCA